CGGGUGACGUAUGGGUUUGGCACUACAAUUCCCAUAAGUCUUUGGGGCAAUUAUAAGAAUUGCGUCAUUACGCGGUUGGCGUGCUAUAAAAAGACGCACGGAAGUAUAGCGCGUCCUCGUUUCAUUCAUUUAUUGACUCUGGAAAUAAGCGUGAGCUUGCAUCAGAAGCCCUUGUGUGUUGAUGGUGAUUGGCCUGGUGAUGCAGUCUUCAGAGUGUUGAAUGAGUUUAAUCGAAUUAGGUAACAAGUAUUAUUUAGUUUUUAUUUAUUAUAUGUUUGAAGGUGGUUGUUUUCAUGAAAGUUUGUUUUGUAGGUUUCUUUUAAAGAAGAACCGUCUGGUUGAUUUAUUCUUCCCUUUUCUUAAAUCCAGUUAAUUUAAAGGUAUUUGAUUAGAUUAAAUAA